CUAUCUGAACAAAUACUUGCAACAUUCUAUGUGAGGCAUGUAGCCAGCCUGUGUGUGCAAUGCACAAAAUAAGUGCCAUGCACCUUUGACAAUAGCCAAGGACGACAUCCACGCACAGAUCUAUAACCCACACAAGUCAGUGAAGUAGAAAACUCUGUGUCGAGGCUGUAUUCGUCCUGUUGCAAUGCCGUAUGCCUCAGCAGCAGUGACACAGUUCCAGGGAGCAUACAGGACCACAUCAGUGAUGGUGGGUGGAGGCAGCAGACAGCCGGCUGGAAUCAUGAAGUCUCUGAUGGCUCCGUGUGCCACAAAGGUUAGUCUGCCAUGUGUAUUACAGACCAGAUUAAAUGACAAGGAGUCACAGGGAAUACUUUAUGUUCCUGUGAUGUAAGUCCCAUCGAAAAAACAAUUGAGAGUCCAGACCUGAAUCCGUCAAAAAGAACAUACAUGUAGGCCAGACUGAUGGCAAAGAACAGGUACGGACCAGAAUCAUUGUGAAGAUGGAGAGGCAUUGUAGAGCAAAUAAAGAUGUUUCCAUUGAUUAUUUAAAAAGGGUAUGAAUAAUUUUGGACAUGCCAUUUUUCAAUAAAAAAUUUAAAAAGAUGGGGGCCCUGUGGCGCACCUGGCUACACCUGCCUUUAGUCCAGCCUGGGUCUCCCAGUCACUUCCUGUCAAUCUCCAACUGCCCCCUGACCACGCAAUUACAAUCGAUAAUCUGGCAUGGAUGUGUAAUUUCUUUGGAAUUGAACAACUGCAUUAAAAACCUUUGUUUACAAGAUUGCUACACUUCUUAAACAAUUUGGUAUGAGUUUAAUGCACCGAUUUAAGCUUAAUUUCACAGCUAAUUA